CGCCGUAUUUUGCGAGCAUUAUUCGCACCAACUGUCUCAAAUGCACCUUUCGCUAUGGAUUGCGCUGUCCCCUGUUUCUAGUCGUUGCUAGGGCGAUUUUUGUCUUGAAAUGAUCCAAGUAACCAUGUUCAGAAAACCAUAAAUGUUGCGUCAUAGUACAAUCUCUAGAGAUAUGUGUGUAGUUGGAUGAAUCUAGUAAACGAAACAUCAAACGAUAUUCGAUAAAAUUUACUAAAAAAAUAAAACAAUUUAAAAACACGUUUUUAUUGCACUAAAAUCAAAUUCAGUGCCAGAGUCGGAGUGGAUCAUUGGUUCCGGAUUUCCCAUCACAGUGUCGGCACACUGGCCACUGUUAAAACUUUCUUCAGAUUAUCAACGUAAACUACACGGCUUUCGAUACGUCCAUCUUUGGAAAGCUUCAGAGUAUAAAUAUAUCUUCUAGUUGCCCGUUUCCUGGUUCUUUAAUAUGCAGCGUGCCAGCACUUAUGAUGGUUGCAGAUUUGGUGUGCAGAGUAUCGAAUCAUACGGCGGGGCUUCAUGCUUCGAAAUAAAUUCUAUAGCGAGUAGAGAGAACGACUGAGAAAGUAAGUUAUAGUGAAAACGUUUUGCAAAUAGUUAAGGAUAAAAUACUGAUUGAUACACAUUUCACGAUUUGUGAUAUUGUAUCGCUACGUUUAAAUCGAAUCAACACAUUUUCUUCGCAUUUACUCUAUGAGUGUCAAAUGUAUUUUAUGGUUUGUCUUAAAUGCCUUGCAACCCGUUUAUAAUGAA